rnacentral:misc_RNA from 1 species
UUCAUGAUGUGCAAACGAUGAAGCAGGUGAGCAGUUUAAUGGAUAGUUUGGUAAACAUUGGACAUAAUGUGAAUUAGGAGGAGAAUGUUCAAAAUACAAGUUGCUUAUGCCUGGAAGAUAUUGAUUCGAAGUGCUGAGAGGACUUAGUUCUUGUGUGGGAAGAAAUUCAUAAAGAUACUAUUCAUACAAGAUAGAGACUGCCUGUAUUCUUAAGGUCAGUAUGUUGGAGACCUCACUAAUUGUUUAUUUUGGAACUCCAGAUCAUUUCCAUAGUGAGGUUUUUUGAGCAAAGAAUCAACCAAAAAUUCAGAAUUUAUGGGAUGAUCAUGAUCCUUUCAAAUAUAUUAGGAUUUAUACACUUAGUGUAGAAUUGAAAAUGG